AAUAAUUUAUUUGAUGGUUCCUUACUACACGGAUAACUGUAGUAAUUCUAGAGCUAAUACGUGCGUAAAAUCCCGACUCUUGCGGGGAGGGAUGUAUUUAUUAGAUAAAAAGCCAGCGCGGGUUCUGCCCGGUUUUGUGGUGAAACAUAGUAACUUUUCGAAUCGCAUGACUUCACGUCGGCGAUAGUUCAUUCAAAUUUCUGCCCUGUCAGCUUUCGACGGUAGUGUAGUGGACUACCGUGGCAUUAACGGGUAACGGAGAAUUAGGGUUCGAUUCAGGAGAGGGAGCCUGAGAAACGGCUACCACA
rnacentral:rRNA from 1 species